CCAACACUGGGGACUGAGACACUGCCCAGACUCCUACGGGAGGCUGCAGUCGAGAAUCUUUCGCAAUGGGCGCAAGCCUGACGAAGCGACGCCGUGUGAGCGAAGAAGGCCUUCGGGUUGUAAAGCUCUUUCGCUAGGGAACAAGAGAGACGGGAUAAUACCCGAGUAGAUUUGAGGGUACUUGGAAAAGAGCACCGGCUAACUC
rnacentral:rRNA from 1 species